rnacentral:rRNA from 1 species
UUCGGAUUGUAGUCUGCAACCCGACUACAUGAAGCUGGAAUCGCUAGUAAUCGCGGAUCAGAAUGCCGCGGUGAAUACGUUCCCGGGUCCUGUACACACCGCCCGUCACACCAUGGGAGUCGGAAAUGCCCGAAGUCUGUGACCCAACCAUUAAGGAGGGAGCAGCCGAAGGCAGGUCGGAUGACUGGGGUGAAGUCGUAACAAGGUACC